rnacentral:tRNA from 1 species
UAGCUCAGUGGGUUAGAGAGUGGUGCUGAUAACACCAAGGUCGCAGGUUCAAUCCCUGC